rnacentral:rRNA from 1 species
UACAGAGGUCUCGAGCGUUGUUCGGAUUCAUUGGGCGUAAAGGGCUCGUAGGCGGCUCCGUACGUCGGGCGUGAAAUUUCGGAGCUUAACUCCGAAACUGCAUUCGAUACUGCGGUGCUUGAGGACUGGAGAGGAGACUGGAAUUCAUGGUGUAGCAGUGAAAUGCGUAGAGAUCAUGAGGAAGACCAGUGGCGAAGGCGGGUCUCUGGACAGUUCCUGACACUGAGGCACGAAGGCCAGGGGAGCAAACGGG